GCGAGAAAGAAAGGGCCCCGGGGGACCUCAAGUCUCAAGCUCACGUUCGGGCAGGUGACAGCAGGAAGGCUGGUGGUGAUGCAGCUGCGGCGUGCAGGAGUGCUCAGGAGCUGUGGUCUCCCCAGCUGGGAGACGAAUGCGUUUGGCAGAGCACUUCAAGAAUGCAACCUCUGGGUUAAGUGGUUGAAAUUAGGCCCAACGGGGCUGUUUUACUGAGAAUUUACAGUUGCUCGUAGAACUCAGCCCCGAUCAAGUCCCUUCCGGAGAGAAUGAAUAAGCCAUUGCUAAAGAAAAAUCUAGGGUCACAAGCUCUGGUCACUGAGACUUAGGGAUUCACAGUACCUGGGCCUCCCACCUCUGGUUGCCUCAAUAGGAGUAUCAUCAUCAGAACAACCGAGGCGCUGAUCUCACCAGACUCCAUUUGGAGUUCCUGACAAAGAUUAAUAGGAGAAUGAUAAUGUGGGUCACAAUCAAGAAAGAUCCUCUAAGCCUUGUCCUGGGAAAAACUGGUGAAGGAGGAAGGGCUGUCCUCCCUAGAGAAGAGAAGUCCCGAAAGAUGGGAUCGCUGUUUAGAAAACAGAAGACUUUCAGAAGGUCGGAGAGCAAAUAAGCUUAAUGAGCGCCAGAGAACAAAGGUAAAAGCAGUACAGCACCCAGUAGGUACUUGAAAAAUAUUAUCGAAUAAAAUCACAAGGAGGUAGAAGAGAAGAAAGAACUUUCUCCCAGAGCCCGCUCAAGAGGGUAGAGCUCCCCACCAGUGGAGGUUUGCACGCAGAAUUCCCGUGUCGGGAGGAGUCCGGUGAGUCAGCAAUAACAGACUGGUUACCUCCUCGCACAAGACACAGCACCUACGUUAAUGCAGCCGCAGCCGUGCUGCCUUGCUCUGGCCCGGUCAGGCCGCACCGUGCGUGGGUACCACGAGGACCUCCAGAUUCUUUUCAUACCAAGAGCUAUGAACCAUACCCCACCGCCGUACACUCAGGCAAUCACUUUUCAAACCCACACUUUCAAACACUGGACCUUUAUGAGUUCGGUUCUGCCAACCAGCAUCUCUAGCUCCAUGAAACGCACAACUGAGAGGAGCCUAAGCAGCACCGGCUGCGGAUGGAGACUCAGAGGACCUCACUGGAGACCUUCCCUGGACAUGGUCUUCAAGGCCCUGAAAAGCAGGGAGCAGAGAAACACUGUGCAACCAUCUGACAAUUGCAGGAAGAUCACACCCAACAGAGGGUGGCAGACUGGGGACCAGAACUCAGAUCCUGUCCCCAGCCCCCUCCGGCCACCACACCGUGCGGCCCCUUCAAGCUUGCCCACAGUAGGCCCUCACCUCUAAAGCUCUCGAAGCCUGCACACCGGGGCGUUUGUAGCUCCCCCAGGCUGCCACAACAAAACACCACUAACUGAGUGGCUUAGCCAACAGAGAUGUAUUGCCUCGUGGUUCUGGGGUAGAGAAGCCUGAAAUCAAGGUGCCAGCACGUCCUCCUGAUGGCCGGGAGGGAGAAUCUGCUCCGGGUCCCUGUCUUGGCUUCUGGUGGUUUCCUGGCAAUCUCGGCGUCCCGUGGCCUGUGGAAACAUCACUCAUCCUCUGCCUUCAACUUCACAGGGUGUGAGUCUUUGUCCCUAAAUGUCCCCUUUUAAUAAAGACGCCACACAGAUUGGAUUAGGGCCCA
rnacentral:lncRNA from 12 species